CAACCUGGGACAACUGGUGAUAGGAAAACGCCACACCAACAGAAUGAAGGCGACACUCAUCAUCUUGUUUACGGCAGUUGUUGGAGUUUAUGGUGACGCCUCCAACUGCGGUGCUGUGAAUGGA